UGUAGUUUCUAAGACGAUGCUGAC
rnacentral:miRNA from 1 species